rnacentral:rRNA from 1 species
AGCGAACGCUGGCGGCAGGCCUAACACAUGCAAGUCGAACGAACUCUUCGGAGUUAGUGGCGGACGGGUGAGUAACACGUGGGAACGUUCCUUUUGGUUCGGCAUAACUCAGGGAAACUUGUGCUAAUACCGAAUGUGCCCUUCGGGGGAAAGAUUUAUCGCCAUUAGAGCGGCCCGCGUCUGAUUAGCUAGUUGGUUAGGUAACGGCUCACCAAGGCGACGAUCAGUAGCUGGUCUGAGAGGAUGACCAGCCACACUGGGACUGAGACACGGCCCAGACUCCUACGGGAAGCAGCAGUGGGGAAUCGUGCGCAAUGGGCGAAAGCCUGACGCAGCCAUGCCGCGUGAAUGAUGAAGGUCUUAGGAUUGUAAAAUUCUUUCACCGGGGACGAUAAUGACGGUACCCGGAGAAGAAGCCCCGGCUAACUUCGUG